AUACAGUGAAACUGCGAAUGGCUCAUUAAAUCAGUUAUCGUUUAUUUGAUAGUACCUUACUACUUGGAUAACCGUGGUAAUUCUAGAGCUAAUACAUGCUAAAAAUCCCGACUUUUUGGAAGGGAUGUAUUUAUUAGAUAAAAGACCAAUGCUUCUUCGGAAGCUCUUUGGUGAUUCAUAAUAACUUUUCGAAUCGCAUGGCCUCGAGCCGGCGAUGGUUCAUUCAAAUUUCUGCCCUAUCAACUUUCGAUGGUAGGAUAGUGGCCUACCAUGGUUUCAACGGGUAACGGGGAAUUAGGGUUCGAUUCCGGAGAGGGAGCCUGAGAAACGGCUACCACAUCCAAGGAAGGCAGCAGGCACGCAAAUUACCCAAUCCCGACACGGGGAGGUAGUGACAAUAAAUAACAAUACAGGGCUUUUUAUGGUCUUGUGAUUGGAAUGAGUACAAUUUAAAUACCUUAACGAGGAACAAUUGGAGGGCAAGUCUGGUGCCAGCAGCCGCGGUAAUUCCAGCUCCAAUAGCGUAUAUUAAAGUUGUUGCAGUUAAAAAGCUCGUAGUUGAACCUUGGGCUUGGUCGGCCGGUCCGCCUCAUUGGUGUGCACUGACCCGACCGAGCCUUUCCUUCUGGAUCACUAUAGUGCUUUUUAUUAAGUGCUAUAGGGAGCCAGGACUUUUACUUUGAAAAAAUUAGAGUGUUCAAAGCAGGCAUACGCUCGAAUAUAUUAGCAUGGAAUAAUAGAAUAGGACGUACGGUUCUAUUUUGUUGGUUCUCUAGGACCGUCGUAAUGAUUAAUAGGGACAGUCGGGGGCAUCAGUAUUCAAUUGUCAGAGGUGAAAUUCUUGGAUUUAUUGAAGACUAACUACUGCGAAAGCAUUUGCCAAGGAUGUUUUCAUUAAUCAAGAACGAAAGUUAGGGGAUCGAAGACGAUCAGAUACCGUCGUAGUCUUAACCAUAAACUAUGCCGACUAGGGAUCGGGCGGUGUUCUUUUUUGACCCGCUCGGCACCUUACGAGAAAUCAAAGUCUUUGGGUUCUGGGGGGAGUAUGGUCGCAAGGCUGAAACUUAAAGGAAUUGACGGAAGGGCACCACCAGGAGUGGAGCCUGCGGCUUAAUUUGACUCAACACGGGGAAACUCACCAGGUCCAGACACAAUAAGGAUUGACAGAUUGAGAGCUCUUUCUUGAUUUUGUGGGUGGUGGUGCAUGGCCGUUCUUAGUUGGUGGAGUGAUUUGUCUGCUUAAUUGC
rnacentral:rRNA from 1 species